UACGGAGGAUCCGAGCGUUAUCCGGAUUUAUUGGGUUUAAAGGGUGCGUAGGCGGCCUUGUAAGUCAGGGGUGAAAGACGGUAGCUCAACUAUCGCAGUGCCUUUGAUACUGAUGAGCUUGAAUGUAGUUGAGGUAGGCGGAAUGUGACAAGUAGCGGUGAAAUGCAUAGAUAUGUCACAGAACACCAAUUGCGAAGGCAGCUUACUAAAGUAUGAUUGACGCUGAGGCACGAAAGCGUGGGGAUCAAACAGG
rnacentral:rRNA from 1 species